rnacentral:lncRNA from 10 species
GUUAAUCUUCAGCAUCUGGAUAAGAAUCACCCUCCUCCAAUCCUCAAUGAAAUAAACCAAUUAAAAAAAUUACCAGUAACAAGUACACAAGGAAAGAGGCGAUCCUCUUGCUAUAAACUGAAAAGUAUCCAACAAGAAGAAAAGCAGGAGAUUUUAGUGUGACUUAAUGUAGCCCCUCUUCCUACAGAAUGAUACAAAAAGCCAAAAGAAGAACUGGACAGAGCUGUCUGCUUGAAGCAUGAGCAAGAUGAAAAGAAGCAAUAUGGUUACUAAGCAAGCAUUUUGCAGAAGAAUACAAUGAAAGCAAAGACUUAAAUAAGCAUGGCAGGCAUAAAACAGAGGAAAGACUGCAAGAAACAAUAACCCAAGGAACCUAGGAAAAGUUUCUUGCAAUUGCUUCAAGCUGCAGAGGAAAUUGUUAAAAACAUGAAUUCAAUAAGACAAGAGCCAAAACCAAAACCAAACAAAACCCAAAUACUUCAGUCAUGAAAUUCAACAAACCAAAAGACAAACGGAGAAGCCAAAGAAAGAAGAAUGAAUGCAACACUCAUUCCCAGGCAAUCUUGGAGCAACUUCUGCAAACCUGUGGGGGAAAGAAAGUAUAAAUGUCCUUUGGGGAUAAAGGCAAUAGAAGACAUUUAUUUUUAUUUUUUAAGGCAGAGUCUCGCUCUGUCAUCCGGGCUAGAAUGCAGUGGCAUGUUCAUAGCUCAUCGCAGCCUUGACCUCCAGGGCUCAAGCAAUAUUCUCACCUCAGCCUCCUGAGUAGCUGGGACUACAGGCACGCACCACCAUGCCUGUUUAAUUUUGUUUAUUUUUUCUAGAGAUGAGGUCUCACUAUGUUGCCCAGGCUGGUCUCAAACUCCUGAGCUUAAGCUAUCCUCCCACCACGGUCUCCCAAAGUGCUGGGAUUGUAGGUGUGAGCCACCAUGCCUGGCCAAUAGGAGACAUUUUAAACUUGCCCUAUUUAAACUUGGCAUCUAUGAACCCUCUUGAAAAAAGCAUAAAUAGAAAAACCAUAGAGUCCUCUUACUAAAGGAUUCAAAGGGAAUCAACUUUUAUAUAUGAUGAUAAAAAGAUUUGCAUUUGCACAACUUGGAGAAUGAGUUACCAUCUCAUUCCAGUCCCAAACAGUUGACUGUGGGAGGCUAUGGGUGGAAGAGGUGUUUGGAACUGAAAUUCAAUUUUAACUCCAUCUGAGAAGCUUACAAGGCAUCCCAGUGGAGAUGUUGAAUAGGCAGUUGGAUCUAAGAGACUAGAAGUUGGAAGACAGGUCUGGGAUGAAGAUACACAUUUGGGAGUCAUAGACAUACAGGUGGUAUUUAAGGCUUGAGAGUGGAUGAGAUCACUCAAAGGGUGUAGACAAGAAGGCCAAGGAAUAAGCCUUUGUUCACUCCAGUAUUAAGAAAUCAGGAAGAGGAGGAGGAAUGAGCAAAGAAGACUGAGGUGGAAAGUCAGUGAGGAAGGAAGAAAACCAGAAGAGGGUGGUAUCUGGAAGGCCAAGUGAAGGAUGGGUAUCAAGCAGAAAUGCCAUCAGCUGUGUCAACUGUGGCUGAAAGAUCAAAGUAAGAUGAGAUCUGAGGAUUAUCCACUGUUUUUAGCAAUGCAGAAGUCAUGGGCGACUUUGACAAGAGUGUUUCAGUGGAGCUGGAGCUGUCGAGUUGAAAGCCGGCUUGGAGGGAGUUUAAGAGAAAGAGUUGGAGAGGAAUUGGAGCAGUAAAUAUAGACAAGUUUUUCAAGAAGUUUUGCUGCAAAUGGGGCAGAUAAAUAGGUGAAAGCUGGCUGGGGUGGUGAGGUUGAGAUAAUUUUUUUUUUUUUUUUUGAGAUGGAGUCUUGCCCUGUUGCCCAGGCUGGAGUGCAGUGGCACUAUCUUGGCUCACUGUAAGCUCCACCUCCUGGGUUCACGCCAUUCUCCUGCCUCAGCCUCCCGAGUAGCUGGGGCUACAGGUGCCUGCCACCACGCCCAGCUAAUUUUUUGUAUUUUCAGUAGAGACGGGUUUCACUGUUAGCCAGGAUGGUCUCAAUCUCCUGACCUCAUGAUUCACCCUCCUCGGCCUCCCAAAGUGCUGAGAUUACAGGUGUGAGCCACCACGCCCGGCCAAGAUAAUUAUUUUUUCAAGAUGGAACUGGAUGUGGUGAGUAAGGUUAAGAGGGGUGAUUUCUAAUUCUGUUAGGCAAUUGGCCAGCUGAUUCUAGCCUCAGUAAUGAGCUCUGGGUUGGAAAAAUAAACUUGAGGAUCAUCAUUAGAUUUAAAAUUGCCUAGAGAUGGCCCAGUGAGGUGAUUUAUGCUGUAAUCCUAGCACUUUGGGGGGCCAAGGCAGGGGUAUCGAGCUUAGGAGUUCAAGAGCAGCCUGGGCAAUAUGGCGAAACCCUGUCUCUACAAAAAAUACAAAAAUUAGCUGGGCAUGGUGGCGUGCACAUGUAGUCUCAGCUACUUGGAAGACUGAGGUUGAAGAGGGGUCGCUUGAGCCUGGGAGGCGGAGGUUGCAAUAAGGUGAGAUCGAGCCACUGCACUCCAGCCUGGGCGACAGAGCUAGACCCUGUCUCAAAAAAAAAAAAAAAAAAAAAGGCCUAGAGAUGAGAUGAUAUGUCCUAGGGGAGUAUGUAGACUAAGAGUCAAGGGCCUAGCAGAGAACCCUGAAGAUACAGUUUUUUAACAAAUAGGCAGAGUUAGUUGUUAAAAAUCUGUAUCUUCAGAGUGUUGGGGGCAUGGUUUCCUCCUAUGGUCAUUCUUCUGUAGGCUUCUUUGUAGGUCUACAAAGCCAACAAAGAAGCCUAAAGGAGAAUGACCACAGGAGUAAAAUCAGGAGAUCAUGUUGUCACAAGAACCACGGAAAAGAAUGUUUCAUUUCAAUAGGGUUGAUGAGUGCCAGAGAUUUAGUAAAGAGCAAAGAAUUCUGAGUUGGAUGUAGCACCAUAGGAAGUUAUUUGGGAUCUUCAAGGAGAACGUUUCAGGAAUAUAAUGGAAGAGAAGGAGAUUUGUCAUUAGUUGAGAAAUUAUUGGAAUGAUGAACUGGAGACAGUGAACACAGAACCCUAUCAAGAACUUUGACUGUGAAGGAGGUAGAGCGAGAGAAAGGGCAACAAUUGGAGGAGGAGAGACUUACUUUCAAGAUGGUAGAGCUAUGCAUGACUAAACGUUGAUGGAAGGUUUCCAGGAGAAAAAGAGAGAUGGAGAGAGGGGAGAGUGGGGAGAGGAAGGCAGGGAAGGGUGGGGAGAGGAAGGCAGGGGAGGAAAAAGGAGGGGAGGAGGGGAGGAGGGGAGAAAGAACUCUGAAACUUCCUCCACUUAUAAAAUAAUAAAACUAUCUGAAAUCAGUUGGAACCAAUAUGGCAAUGGACUGAGCUUGCUGACAUCAUAGCCUGAAUUUCCGCUGCAUACUUUCCCAUCAGGAAGUAUAAAGCAUUAACUGUGCAUGCCCAAGGACCUUCCAGACCUCCCCUUUCCUUCCACCAAUCACCAGCGGCUAAUCCCAGAAUCCACUCCCAAACAGUUUCUAAUGCAAUUACUGCCUUGAAGCCAGCACAGGAAGACAGAUUUGAGCUGGACUCCUCUCUUCUCAUUUGUCAACUUGUAAUAAAAGCCAUUCUCUUCUCAAACACCCAGUAUCAUAGUAUUGGCUUCUAACACACUGAGCAUUGAGCUGCUUUUGCUAGGUAACAAGAGAAUGUUCAACAAAGAAAAAGAAACUAGACAUGCAAGAGUGUCUAUUUAUCAUCUUCUACAGCAAGCUUCCACAAAUAAGGAUCCACCAGCCAAAUCCAGCCCACUGCCUGUUUUUGCGGUAAAGUUUGAUUGCAAUUCAGCCACACCCACCUGUUUACACAUUGUCUAUGGCUGCCUUACAGUUACAUCAGAGUUGAGUGGUUGUGACAGAGACCUUAUGAUCUGCAAAGACAGAAGUUUUACUAUCGGCCCUUUACAGAGAAUUUUUGUCAAUCCCUGUUCUAUAGGAAAGAUGGGAAGGUUUUGGAGAAAAGGCAACCUUCAGAAAAAUCCAACUUCUGAGUCUGUUUCCUUUUCUGCAAAAUAAGGACACCAUUCAUUAAAUCAGUCUUUCAUUUCACAAACAUUUAUUGAUUGCUACUAUGUGCCAGAAGCUGGGAGUGCAGAGAUCAAUAAGAUCUAGCCUUGUCCUUUGAAAGCCCAUGGUCUAGUAGCAGAGAUAGAUGGAUAAACAAAUAGUUGGAAUACUUAGAGUCCAAUGCUACGUGCAUGCUAUGCAGAUGAAGGGGAGGCAUUUUACCUGGCUUGGAUGGGGCUGGGAAGGAAUCAUUGGCAUAUGAGGUUGCUAUGGUUGAGAAUGAAACCAGUCAGUGAUUAGUGUGGCACAAGUAAAGAUCAAAGAGAAUCAAAGAGGAAGAAUUCUGGAAAGCACUAAGAUAGAAGGGCUAAGGGAAGGGAGACUGAGAAGGAGCAGUGAGAGAGGUAGAAGGAGAACAAGGAAUGUGUUCCUGGUUGAUUUUAGAAAUAUAGCACCCUAUCUUCCAAAAAAGAACAGACAUUUUUCCAGAGCCUAACAUUUAUCAGAUACUGGCUAAGUGCAAGAAUCUGUCUAAGUACUUUACAUUCAUUUGGUAAUCCUCAAUACAAGCUGGUGGGAGAGGGAUGUCUUCCUAGCCCAGGGUUAUACAACUAUUAGGUGAAAUAUCAAUGGGACACACAUAGGAUACCACUCUAUCACUCUGCCCUUGAUACACCUCCCUAGCUGAUCAUUGCCCUCCCUGCUGAGUCCAGAUGUGGCUUCACAAUGUGUCUCAACAGAGCUUUCUGGGCAGCCACCACCAAUCAGUUGGAGUUGGCCCCUGAAAUGAAAUCUAUCUUAUUUUUUAUCCCGUC